UCUGCAACUAAAUUUCAAAAGUCAUCAUUCUUUGUAAUUGCCCAAAAUAAAAUGAGAGAACAACAGAGAGUGAAUAAUCUAAGUUAAGAAACUGAAUCUCUGAAAUUCUCUGUGGAAUGUGCAUUUGGGAGAAGAGAAACAACUAAACAAUCAGAGAGAAGCAAAGAAAGGAGGCUGCGAGUGAUCCAAAACAGUACUUACCAUGCCCAUUACUCCACAGCCUGUAACAACUCUUGGAAACCUCUUAAGAAUCCGACAAUUGAAGAUAAUUCCAAGCACCCCAUGUGAGUGAGACCACUCUACUCUUCUCUUUUUAGUCUCCCUCCUCCCAUAUCUCAGUUUUCACUGCGCUAUCUCUCUGCUUUCUGCUGCUCUCACUUUCACUGCUAUUUGUUGCCACUUUCCCGAUAAAAUUCCAGCUUGAAUUUUCUGGGAUUUCUCCAAAAUCAUGUGGGAUUCUGAGACUGAGUCGGUUGGAGGGAGAGAUUACAAGAAUGGAGGUCUCUGUUCAUCCAAGCACAAUGUUAAGACUGAUGGCUUUGAGCUCAAAGGCAACUCUUGGUAUGUAGCAACUGAUAUCCCAAGCGACCUGCUAGUUCAAGUUGGGGAUGUAAAUUUUCACUUGCACAAGUAUCCCCUGCUUUCAAGGAGUGGAAAGAUCAACAGAGUCAUAUAUGAAUUACGCAACCCGGACCUGAGUAAGAUGUGUUUGGAUGAUCUUCCUGGUGGACCACAGGCCUUCGAGUUAGCUGCGAAAUUCUGCUAUGGAAUUGCUGUGGAUCUAACAGCAGCAAAUAUUUCAGGCUUGAGAUGUGCUGCAGAGUACCUUGAAAUGACAGAGGACUUGGAAGAAGGCAACCUUAUCUUCAAAACUGAGGCUUUUCUUAGCUAUGUGGUUUUAUCCUCAUGGAGAGACUCCAUUGUGGUGUUGAAAAGCUGCGAGAAGCUGUCACCGUGGGCUGAAAAUCUUCAAAUUGUCCGAAGAUGCAGCGAGUCUAUUGCUUGGAAAGCUUGUGCCAAUCCAAAAGGGAUAAGAUGGGCAUACACUGGAAAGCCAACAAAAGUUGCUAACCCAAACUGGGGUGACAUGAAGGACUCAAGUCCAAGUAGAAGCCAGCAGGUCCCUCCUGAUUGGUGGUUUGAAGAUGUUUCGAUUCUAAGGAUCGAUCAUUUUUUCAGAGUUAUUACCGCAAUUAAGGUAAAGGGGAUGAGAUUUGAACUGAUUGGAGCUGCAAUGAUGCAUUACGCAUCUAAGUGGCUUCCAGGUUUGAUCAACGAAGGCACAGGUACAGCUGAUGAAGGAAGCAACAGCAGCAAUAGUACAAGUAAUAGUAGCGGUAGUUGGAAAGGUGGACUUCAUAUGAUUCUGGCAGGAAAUAAAGAUGAGUCUUCAAGUGUUCAGGCCAAAGAUCAACGGAUGAUCAUUGAGAGCCUUAUCAGCAUAAUCCCACCACAGAAGGAUAGUGUCUCGUGCAGCUUCCUUCUUCGGCUUUUGAGAAUGGCAAACAUGCUGAAAGUAGCACCUGCUUUGGUUACUGAGUUGGAAAAACGGGUGGGAAUGCAAUUCGAACAGGCUACUUUGGCGGAUCUUCUUAUUCCUUCUUACAAUAAAUGUGAAACUAUGUACGACGUGGAUCUUGUUCAAAGGCUUCUGGAGCACUUUCUGGUUCAAGAACAGACGGAAAUUUCAAGUCCAAGCCAACAAUCUUUCCCUGGGAAGCACUAUGAUGACCUUCAAAGGUCUACUGGUCCAAAUGCUAAGAUGAGGGUAGCUAGGCUUGUUGAUAGUUAUCUUACAGAGGUGUCCAGAGAUAGAAGCCUCUCCCUAACAAAGUUUCAGGUACUGGCAGAAGCUUUGCCCGAGUCUGCAAGGAUCUGCGAUGAUGGACUUUAUAGAGCAGUUGAUUCCUAUCUUAAGGCCCAUCCAACACUUUCUGAGCACGAAAGGAAGAGGCUUUGCCGGGUGAUGGAUUGCCAAAAGCUAUCAAUUGAUGCCUGCAUGCAUGCUGCCCAAAACGAAAGACUCCCAUUGAGAGUGGUAGUGCAGGUCCUUUUCUGUGAACAAGUUAAAAUAAGCAAUGCAUUAGCCACAAGCUCCCUCAAAGAAGCUGGAGACUCUCAGUAUCAGCCAAUGGUUUCGAAUCGAAAAACACUACUCGAAGGGACCCCGCAGUCGUUCCAAGAAGGAUGGGCUGCCGCUAAAAAAGACAUUAACACGGUUAAAUUCGAACUGGAGAGUGUGAAAGCCAAGCACCUAGAGCUCCAGCAUGACAUGGAGAAUUUGCAGAGACAGUUUGAUAAGAUGUCAAAGAAUAAACAGACAUCGGCAUGGAGCAGUGGAUGGAAGAAACUAAGCAAACAACUCACAAAGAACACAAAUUUAGAAAACCAGAACAUCGGGCCGGAGCACACAACGGCUGCAGAUCAGCAGACUACAAAGACACCUAGGAAGUGGAGAAAUUCCAUCUCGUGAAAAUAAGAACGACAGAUUGAAGGAAAUAGAUAUACAGCUACAUGUUUGACUAAGUGUUCCAAAGGAAUUGCGAGAUUUCUUUUCUGGAGCAAUUGUUCCCAGAGCCUACCUGAUGAACCUCAGUAUCACUGAAAUUUGAUUGUACUAUGGUAGUGAUUUCUGCAUUUCUCAAUGCUGAAAUCUAUUUGUUUUUUCU